AUUGAACGCUGGCGGCAGGCCUAACACAUGCAAGUCGAGCGAGCGGCGGACGGGUGAGUAAUGUAUGGGGAUCUGCCUGAUGGCGGGGGAUAACUACUGGAAACGGUAGCUAAUACCGCAUACCAUCAGAUGAACCCAUAUGGGAUUAGCUUGUAGGUGAGGUAACGGCUCACCUAGGCGACGCGCCCUAGCUGGUCUGAGAGGAUGCUCAGCCAAACGGGGACUGAGAAACGGCCCAGACUCCGACGGGAGGCAGCAGUGGGGAAUAUUGCACAAUGGGCGCAAGCCGGAUGCAGCCAUGCCGCGUGUAUGAAGAAGGCCUGCGGGUUGUAAAGUACUUUCAGUCGGGAGGCGUUACCGACAGAAGAAGCACCGGCUAACUCCGUGCCAGCAGCCGCGGUAAUUC
rnacentral:rRNA from 1 species